rnacentral:rRNA from 1 species
AACACAUGCAAGUCGCGGGGCAGCGUGGUCUUAGCUUGCUAAGGCUGACGGCGACCGGCGCACGGGUGAGUAACGCGUAUCCAACCUGCCCUUCACCACGGUAUAGCCCGUCGAAAGGCGGAUUAAUCCCGUAUGCUUCGUCCGGCGGCAUCGCCGGGCGAUGAAAGGCCAGCGGUGACGGAUGGGGAUGCGUCUGAUUAGGUAGUAGGCGGGGUAACGGCCCACCUAGCCGUCGAUCAGUAGGGGUUCUGAGAGGAAGGUCCCCCACACUGGAACUGAGACACGGUCCAGACUCCUACGGGAGGCAGCAGUGAGGAAUAUUGGUCAAUGGGCGCGAGCCUGAACCAGCCAAGUAGCGUGCAGGAAGACGGCCCUAUGGGUUGUAAACUGCUUUUAUGCGGGGAUAAAAGGCGCUACGCGUAGCGCAUUGCAGGUACCGCAUGAAUAAGGACCGGCUAAUUCCGUGCCAGCAGCCGCGGUAAUACGGAAGGUCCGGGCGUUAUCCGGAUUUAUUGGGUUUAAAGGGAGCGCAGGCCGUCCUUUAAGCGUGUUGUGAAAUGCCGCGGCUGAACCGUGGCACCGCAGCGCGAACUGGAGGACUUGAGUACGCUGUAGGUAGGCGGAAUUCGUGGUGUAGCGGUGAAAUGCUUAGAUAU